GUGGGGACCAAGAAUGGAUUGGAAGUGUGCUACUGCUAUUCGACUCAUUUCUAGAGGGUCAUCCACCAUAGUGCCUGAAGUCGAGGAGAAGGAUCUUAUGGCAUUGAAGGAGUUUCUGGUUAAAGUCACUCGAUGAAAGUAAGAUGUGUUCAAGUCCCCUUCUUUUAACCAGUUGAUACGAGAUCUUUGUUUGAAAUAGGCUUCUUCAAUCUUUCUGAGGAAUUCCCAUCGAGUGUGAAGAGCACGUUCUUGUUGGAAUAGGGCAGAAGAAGGUGUGGCCAUCGCUUGUACCUGCACAUUGUUUAAUAAAAGCACUCAAAACAGCUAAACUUGUUUCCAAGGGAUGUAAAGUUCCAGCCAAGAUCCAUGCAGUCUCAAUCGUUUGGAGGAAUUGGGGAUGAGAGGUUAGGAAGUUAAAGAAUUUGAAAGGUUUGGUGCCAGCACACGGGAGGGAGGUUUCCAGGUUGAGAAGACAAGGCGAAUGAUCAGAAACUUCAGAAGCCAGGAAGGAAGCCACACUAUUGGGGUGAAGAAGGGACCUUGAUGACGGAGAUCAAACAGCUCCAUUUGCAGGAGGCAAUCGCGAAGUUCUAUCAUACGCGAGGACCAGUGAUCAACAUUCGGGUUUGAGUGCUCAGCUGGAUGGAUGAUUUGGUUGAAAUCCCCUCCAAGAAGCCAAGGUUGUGAAUCCAACUGGAGUCUUUGUUGAAGGUUGAUCAACUCACACCAGAGGAGAUUUCCACACGAUGAUUACUCUACCAUCCGGAUCAGAAGCAUGGUUAGAGACAAAUUGCCAACCAGGACAGGUAAGGUUCAUAACUCUGUUCAAAUUUGGUUCCUUGAUA